rnacentral:lncRNA from 1 species
UCAAUUUCGGAUAUAAUCGGGUACCCGAAAUACUUCGGUUCGGAUCGGGUUCGGUUUCAGUUCUCUAAAUACCAAAAUUUUGAACCCAUCGGAUAUUUAAUCAAUUUCAGUUCGGGUUCGAUACUAUUUUUUCGGAUCUGGUUCGGUUCGGUUUAUCGGAUCUGGGUUUUUUGCCCAGCCCUAGUUUAUACAUAAAUCGGAUAGCCCCAAAAUUUUCAAAAUUUUUUUAUUAAUAACUUCAAAAUGUUUAUGGUAUUUUAAAUUUCAGAUCCGACCAUUGAUUAAUGGCUUUUUGCAAAAUUGACCUAGAACUCAAAGUCAAACACAAAACUAACCUCUUUUUUUUUUGGAAAUUGGUUUUGCCCUAUUCACCCCACAAGUUCAUAUAAUUCACGAAAAUGCCAUCAAAUUUUUUUUUUCCGAAAAUGACAUUUUUACUCUCUCACCCUCAUCA